rnacentral:rRNA from 1 species
UAUCUCUGUAGAGUCUGCAUAUCAAUAAGCGGAGGAAAAGAAACUAACUAGGAUUCCCUCAGUAACGGCGAGUGAAGCGGGAAGAGCUCAAAUUUGAAAUCUUCAAGGUUCUACCUUGACGAAUUGUAGUUUAAAGAAGUGUUUUCUGUUGGAGUUUCGGUAAAAGUUCUUUGGAAUAGGACAUCAUAGAGGGUGAGAAUCCCGUAUUUGACCAUUAUUUCCAGCUUUGUGAUACACUUUCAAAGAGUCGGAUUGUUUGGGAAUGCAGUCCAAAAUGGGUGGUAAAUUUCAUCUAAAGCUAAAUAUUGGCGAGAGACCGAUAGCGGACAAGUACCGUGAGGGAAAGAUGAAAAGAACUUUGAAAAGAGAGUUAAACAGUACGUGAAAUUGUCAAAAGGGAAGCGUUUGACACCAGUGUUGUUUUCUCGAAAAUCAAUUAAAAAAGGCAGGACUUUGUGUUGUAUUGACUUUAUCAGCUUUCUGCACUCUUUUCUUGUCUUUUUUAAUGCACUUUUCGUUUAACAAGUCAACAUCAAUUUCUUUUGUUGUAAAAGGGUCAUUGGAAGGUGGCUUUCUUUUCGGAGAAAGUGUUUAUAGCCUUUGGCCUCUGCAAUCGGAGAGAUUGAGGUCUGCAGCGUAGAUCCUUCGGGGUUAGAUACAUUUGUGCUAAGUUAUAGCCUUUCAUAGACAACUUGUUGACUAUGAUCAGUCAUGUAGCUUACUCGCUUAUGCUAUUUUACCUACGCUUAGGAUGUUGACGAUCAGCUGAGCGCG